rnacentral:rRNA from 1 species
GACGAACGCUGGCGGCGUGCUUAACACAUGCAAGUCGAACGGAGUGGCGAACGGGUGAGUAACACGUGGGUGAUCUGCCUUGCACUUCGGGAUAAGCUUGGGAAACUGGGUCUAAUACCGGAUAGUGCAAGAUGAGCUCGCGGCCUAUCAGCUUGUUGGUGGGGUAAUGGCCUACCAAGGGGUCGACGGGUAGCCGGCCUGGGAGGGGGUACGGGCACCAUGGGACUGAGGUACGGCCCAGAAGGCUACGGGAGGCAGCAGGGGGGAAUAUUGCACAAUGGGCGGAAGUCUGAUGCAGAGACGCUGCGUGGGGGAUGAAGGCCUUCGGGUUGUAAACUCCUUUCGACAGGGACGCGGUACCUGUAUAAGAAGCACCGGCUAACUACGUGCCAGCAGCCGCGGUAAUUC